CGGGAUGUUCAUAACCCUUUGUUGUCCGACUCUGUUGCCUCCGGGGCGACCCUGCCUUCGGGCGGGGGCUCCGGGUGGACACUUCAAACUCUUGCGUAACUUUGCAGUCUGAGUAAACUUAAUUAAUAAAUUAAAACUUUUAACAACGGAUCUCUUGGUUCUGGCAUCGAUGAAGAACGCAGCGAAAUGCGAUAAGUAAUGUGAAUUGCAGAAUUCAGUGAAUCAUCGAAUCUUUGAACGCACAUUGCGCCCCCUGGUAUUCCGGGGGGCAUGCCUGUUCGAGCGUCAUUUCACCACUCAAGCCUCGCUUGGUAUUGGGCAACGCGGUCCGCCGCGUGCCUCAAAUCGUCCGGCUGGGUCUUCUGUCCCCUAAGCGUUGUGGAAACUAUUCGCUAAAGGGUGUUCGGGAGGCUACGCCGUAAAACAACCCCAUUUCUAAGGUUGACCUCGGAUCAGGUAGGGAUACCCGCUGAACUUAAGCAUAUCAAUA
rnacentral:rRNA from 1 species